GGAGCCAGUUGAACGGCUACCACAUCUAAGGAAGGCAGCAGGCGCGCAAAUUACCCAAUGAAAACAGUUUCGAGGUAGUGACGAGAAAUAACAAUACAGGGCAUUUUAUGCUCUGUAAUUGGAAUGAUGGGAAUCCAAAACCCUUUCAGAGUAACAAUUGGAGGGCAAGUCUGGUGCCAGCAGCCGCGGUAAUUCCAGCUCCAAUAGCGUAUAUUAGAGUUGUUGCAGUUAAAAAGCUCGUAGUUGGAUUUCUGUCGGGAUUUUCCGGUUCUGCCCGUAUGGGUGGGUACUUGGUUUGAUCUUGGCAUUCUUCCGGUUGCCUUCCCCGAUUCAUUGCGUGUUUGGUUUUUCCGGAACUUUUACUUUGAGAAAAAUAGAGUGUUUCAAGCAGGCUUGUCGCCUUGAAUACUUCAGCAUGGAAUAAUAAUAUAGGACUUUGGUUCUAUUUUGUUGGUUUCUAGGACUAAAGUAAUGAUUAAUAGGGACAGUUGGGGGCAUUCGU
rnacentral:rRNA from 1 species